GACGAACGCUGGCGGCGUGCUUAACACAUGCAAGUCGAACGGAAAGGCCCUGCUUUUGUGGGGUGCUCGAGUGGCGAACGGGUGAGUAACACGUGAGUAACCUGCCCUUGACUUUGGGAUAACUUCAGGAAACUGGGGCUAAUACCGGAUAGGAGCUCCUGCUGCACGGGGGGGGUUGGAAAGUUUCGGCGGUUGGGGAUGGACUCGCGGCUUAUGAGCUUGUUGGGGGGGUAGUGGCGUACCAAGGCUUUGACGGGUAGCCGGCCUGAGAGGGUGACCGGCCACAUUGGGACUGAGAUACGGCCCAGACUCCUACGGGAGGCAGCAGUGGGGAAUAUUGCACAAUGGGCGGAAGCCUGAUGCAGCAACGCCGCGUGCGGGAUGACGGCCUUCGGGUUGUAAACCGCUUUCGCCUGUGACGAAGCGUGAGUGACGGUAAUGGGUAAAGAAGCACCGGCUAACUACGUG
rnacentral:rRNA from 1 species